rnacentral:rRNA from 1 species
GAGUUUGAUCCUGGCUCAGGAUGAACGCUGGCGGCGUGCCUAAUACAUGCAAGUCGAACGCUUUGUGGUUCAACUGAUUUGAAGAGCUUGCUCAGAUAUGACGAUGAACAUUGCAAAGAGUGGCGAACGGGUGAGUAACACGUGGGAAACCUACCUCUUAGCAGGGGAUAACAUUUGGAAACAGAUGCUAAUACCGUAUAACAAUGACAACCGCAUGGUUGUUAUUUAAAAGAUGGUUCUGCUAUCACUAAGAGAUGGUCCCGCGGUGCAUUAGCUAGUUGGUAAGGUAAUGGCUUACCAAGGCGAUGAUGCAUAGCCGAGUUGAGAGACUGAUCGGCCACAAUGGGACUGAGACACGGCCCAUACUCCUACGGGAGGCAGCAGUAGGGAAUCUUCCACAAUGGGCGAAAGCCUGAUGGAGCAACGCCGCGUGUGUGAUGAAGGGUUUCGGCUCGUAAAACACUGUUGUAAGAGAAGAAUGACAUUGAGAGUAACUGUUCAAUGUGUGACGGUAUCUUACCAGAAAGGAACGGCUAAAUACGUGCCAGCAGCCGCGGUAAUACGUAUGUUCCAAGCGUUAUCCGGAUUUAUUGGGCGUAAAGCGAGCGCAGACGGUUAUUUAAGUCUGAAGUGAAAGCCCUCAGCUCAACUGAGGAAUUGCUUUGGAAACUGGAUGACUUGAGUGCAGUAGAGGAAAGUGGAACUCCAUGUGUAGCGGUGAAAUGCGUAGAUAUAUGGAAGAACACCAGUGGCGAAGGCGGCUUUCUGGACUGUAACUGACGUUGAGGCUCGAAAGUGUGGGUAGCAAACAGGAUUAGAUACCCUGGUAGUCCACACCGUAAACGAUGAGUGCUAGGUGUUUGAGGGUUUCCGCCCUUAAGUGCCGCAGCUAACGCAUUAAGCACUCCGCCUGGGGAGUACGACCGCAAGGUUGAAACUCAAAGGAAUUGACGGGGACCCGCACAAGCGGUGGAGCAUGUGGUUUAAUUCGAAGCAACGCGAAGAACCUUACCAGGUCUUGACAUCCCUUGACAACUCCAGAGAUGGAGCGUUCCCUUCGGGGACAAGGUGACAGGUGGUGCAUGGUUGUCGUCAGCUCGUGUCGUGAGAUGUUGGGUUAAGUCCCGCAACGAGCGCAACCCUUAUUACUAGUUGCCAGCAUUCAGUUGGGCACUCUAGUGAGACUGCCGGUGACAAACCGGAGGAAGGUGGGGAUGACGUCAAAUCAUCAUGCCCCUUAUGACCUGGGCUACACACGUGCUACAAUGGCGUAUACAACGAGUUGCCAACCCGCGAGGGUGAGCUAAUCUCUUAAAGUACGUCUCAGUUCGGAUUGUAGGCUGCAACUCGCCUACAUGAAGUCGGAAUCGCUAGUAAUCGCGGAUCAGCACGCCGCGGUGAAUACGUUCCCGGGUCUUGUACACACCGCCCGUCACACCAUGAGAGUUUGUAACACCCAAAGCCGGUGGGGUAACCUUCGGGAGCCAGCCGUCUAAGGUGGGACAGAUGAUUAGGGUGAAGUCGUAACAAGGUAACC